AGUGAACGCUGGCGGUAGGCCUAACACAUGCAAGUCGAACGGCAGCACAGUAAGAGCUUGCUCUUACGGGUGGCGAGUGGCGGACGGGUGAGGAAUACAUCGGAAUCUACUUUUUCGUGGGGGAUAACGUAGGGAAACUUACGCUAAUACCGCAUACGACCUACGGGUGAAAGCAGGGGAUCUUCGGACCUUGCGCGAUUGAAUGAGCCGAUGUCGGAUUAGCUAGUUGGCGGGGUAAAGGCCCACCAAGGCGACGAUCCGUAGCUGGUCUGAGAGGAUGAUCAGCCACACUGGAACUGAGACACGGUCCAGACUCCUACGGGAGGCAGCAGUGGGGAAUAUUGGACAAUGGGCGCAAGCCUGAUCCAGCCAUACCGCGUGGGUGAAGAAGGCCUUCGGGUUGAAGCCCUUCUGUUGGGAAAGAAAAGCAGCAGGUUAAUACCCCGCUGUUCUGACGGUACCCAAAGAAUAAGCACCGGCUAACUUCGUG
rnacentral:rRNA from 1 species